rnacentral:rRNA from 1 species
CCUUAAGGUAGAACCAACUCCCAUGGUGUGACGGGCGGUGUGUACAAGACCCGGGAACGUAUUCACCGCGGCGCGCUGAUCCGSGAUUACUAGUAAUUCCAGCUUCAUGUACUCGAGUUGCAGAGUACAAUCCGAACUGAGGCAUUUUUUUAGGAUUUGCUUGAUGUCGCCAUCUUGCUUCCUAUUGUAAAUGCCAUUGUAGCACGUGUGUAGCCCAACACGUAAGGGCCAUGAGGACUUGACGUCAUCCCCACCUUCCUCCAGCUUAUCACUGGCAGUUCUUUCAGAGUGCCCAACUAAAUGAUGGCAACUAAAAGUGAGGGUUGCGCUCGUUGCGGGACUUAACCCAACAUCUCACGACACGAGCUGACGACAGCCAUGCAGCACCUGUGUUUCGUCCGGCCGAACCGAAAACUUUGAAUCUCUUAAAGUCGCGACGAACAUGUCAAGUGUUGGUAAGGUUCUGCGCGUAUCUUCGAAUUAAACCACAUGCUCCACUACUUGUGCGGGUCCCCGUCAAUUCAUUUGAGUUUUAACCUUGCGGUCGUACUCCCCAGGCGGUGUGUUUAAUGCUUUCGCUGCGACACUGAAAAUAAAUUUCCNACGUCUAACACACAUCGUUUACGGCAUGGACUACGAGGGUAUCUAAUCCUCUUCGCUACCCAUGCUUUCGUUCCUCAGUGUCAGUAAUGAUCCAGAAAGCUG